rnacentral:rRNA from 1 species
GGUCAACAUACCCAGAGGACGUGGAUAACCUCGGGAAACUGAGGAUAAACCGCGAUAGACCAUAAUGUCUGGAAUGAUUUAUGGUUCAAAUCUACAUGGCCUCUGGAUUGGACUGCGGCCGAUCAGGCUGUUGGUGAGGUAAUGGCCCACCAAACCUGAAACCGGUACGGGCUCUGAGAGGAGAAGCCCGGAGAUGGGCACUGAGACAAGGGCCCAGGCCCUAUGGGGCGCAGCAGGCGCGAAAUCUUUGCAAUAGGCGAAAGCCUGACAAGGUUACUCUGAGUGAUCUCCGCUAAGGAAAUCUUUUGACACCUCUAAAAAUGGUGUAGAAUAAGGGGUGGGCAAGCCUGGUGUCAGCCGCCGCGGUAAUACCAGCACCCCGAGUGGUCGGGACGAUUAUUGGGCCUAAAGCAUCCGUAGCCGGUUCCUUAAGUCCUCCGUUAAAUCCACCUGCUUAACAGAUGGGCUGCGGAGGAUACUAUAGAGCUAGGAGGCGGGAGAGGCAAGCGGUACUCAGUGGGUAGGGGUAAAAUCCGUUGAUCCAUUGAAGACCACCAGUGGCGAAGGCGGCUUGCCAGAACGCGCUCGACGGUGAGGGAUGAAAGCUGGGGGAGCAAACCGGAUUAGAUACCCGGGUAGUCCCAGCUGUAAACGAUGCAGACUCGGUGAUGAACAGGCUUCGCGCCUGUUCAGUGCCGCAGGGAAGCCGUUAAGUCUGCCGCCUGGGGAGUACGGUCGCAAGACUGAAACUUAA